rnacentral:rRNA from 1 species
GAUGAACGCUGGCGGCGUGCCUAAUACAUGCAAGUCGAGCGAACAGAUAAGGAGCUUGCUCCUUUGACGUUAGCGGCGGACGGGUGAGUAACACGUGGAUAACCUACCUAUAAGACUGCGAUAACUUCGGGAAACCGGAGCUAAUACCGGAUAACAUAUUGAACCGCAUGGUUCAAUAGUGAAAGGCGGCUUUGCUGUCACUUAUAGAUGGAUCCGCGCCGUAUUAGCUAGUUGGUAAGGGAACGGCUUACCAAGGCAACGAUACGUAGCCGACCUGAGAGGGUGAUCGGCCACACUGGAACUGAGACACGGUCCAGACUCCUACGGGAGGCAGCAGUAGGGAAUCUUCCGCAAUGGGCGAAAGCCUGACGGAGCAACGCCGCGUGAGUGAUGAAGGUCUUCGGAUCGUAAAACUCUGUUAUCAGGGAAGAACAAAUGUGUAAGUAACUGUGCACAUCUUGACGGUACCUGAUCAGAAAGCCACGGCUAACUACGUGCCAGCCGCCGCUGUAA